rnacentral:rRNA from 1 species
CCUACGGGCGGCAGCAGUGAGGAAUAUUGGUCAAUGGGCGUAAGCCUGAACCAGCCAAGUCGCGUGAGGGAUGAAGGUUCUAUGGAUCGUAAACCUCUUUUAUAAGGGAAUAAAGUGUGGGACGUGUCCUAUUUUGUAUGUACCUUAUGAAUAAGGAUCGGCUAACUCCGUGCCAGCAGCCGCGGUAAUACGGAGGAUCCGAGCGUUAUCCGGAUUUAUUGGGUUUAAAGGGUGCGUAGGCGGCCUUUUAAGUCAGCGGUGAAAGUCUGCGGCUCAACCAUAGAAUGGCAGUUGAAACUGGGGGUCUUGAGUAUGUUAGAGGCAGGCGGAAGUCGUGGUGUAGCGGUGAAAUGCGUAGAUAUCACGAAGAACCCCGAUUGCGAAGGCAGCCUGCCAAGCCGUGACUGACGCUGAUGCACGAAAGCGUGGGGAUCAAACAGGAGUAGAUACCCUAGUAGUC